UUGACAGUUGCACCAGCCACU
rnacentral:misc_RNA from 1 species